GACGAACGCUGGCGGCGUGCUUAACACAUGCAAGUCGAACGGAAAGGCCCUGCUUUUGUGGGGUGCUCGAGUGGCGAACGGGUGAGUAACACGUGAGUAACCUGCCCUUGACUUUGGGAUAACUCCAGGAAACUGGGGCUAAUACCGGAUAGGAGCUCCUGCUGCAUGGUGGGGGUUGGAAAGUUUCGGCGGUUGGGGAUGGACUCGCGGCUUAUCAGCUUGUUGGUGGGGUAGUGGCUUACCAAGGCUUUGACGGGUAGCCGGCCUGAGAGGGUGACCGGCCACAUUGGGACUGAGAUACGGCCCAGACUCCUACGGGAGGCAGCAGUGGGGAAUAUUGCACAAUGGGCGGAAGCCUGAUGCAGCAACGCCGCGUGCGGGAUGACGGCCUUCGGGUUGUAAACCGCUUUCGCCUGUGACGAAGCGUGAGUGACGGUAAUGGGUAAAGAAGCACCGGCGAACUACGU
rnacentral:rRNA from 1 species